GCGCGUCGCUCGCUCGCCCGCCCGCCCGCCCCCUACCCGAUCCUGCGAGGCCUUUCCACCUAGGCACAGGCCUGGCCUUCGCGGAGCAUCACCGGCUGCAGCGAAUCCGGCUUCCUUCCCGCGACAGCCCGCAGUCAAGUGUCAGAAUGGGCAGCACAGUGACGGAUGCCAAAUAGGAGCAGUGACAGGAGAGGAAUGUUUGGAGAAUGACACCAGAGAUCCGGAAAGAUCCAUCCCUCUGGGACAGGAGCCUUACACAGAGAGAGAAGAGAAGAAUUCGGGCAAAGUGUGUGCUCCAGUAAAUUUGCACGGCAUUCUUGUUUAUCAGCUCUGCACUGGUAAAUGGUGCUCUGGCCCCUCACGAGAGCCUCAGGAAGGCAUGACGUCAUGCAUGGGACGCUGAGCCUCCUGAAGCAGCCACUGAAACUCCAGCCUCCCAUGGAGUCCUGGUUUGAGGAAGACCACCAUGAGACAUGUGAACAAAGGACAGGCUCCAUGGUGCACCUGGACCUUCUGGACCCUCCACUCUGGGGCUUCCAGCUGUGCCAGAUAUCCCUGAACCAGGAAUGUUGCACAGAAAGCACAGAGCCACCUGACUCUAAGGGUCCAUGCCAGGCUGCUUCAGUCAGUAGGUGUCCAAGUGGUAAAGAGGCGGGCCUAGUGACUACGUCAGAAGGAAGCUCCAGAAGUUUCCACACGGUUCUAGUAGGGGUGUGAGAGCACUUGGGGUAGAUUAAAGUUGAUUUGGAAGAAUUAAAGGUCUAUGAGUCAGUAGAGCCAUUCAAACCAAUGUAUGUCUCAGGGCUUACUGGAGUUGAGUAUACAUGGGUUGGGCUCUGAGUGGAGAGGACCUUUGUUCCUAGAGUGGCCAUGUCCAAGAGGAUGGCCAGGCCAGACCAGAUGCUGGGUGCCCAGAGGUGGAAAGGGAAAGAAAUUACCAUGAAUGGUUUAAACUAAUGAGAUUCAUCUCUUGAGGAUGGGAAGGGGUCCUUGUGUUCAUGGCUGCCUGAUAUCUGACCAAGAAAGGUGGACAGAGAAGGCUGUUGGGUAGGAAGCUACUAGUGUCUGCUCAUACCCGCUUCCAUGUGUUCUACCUUGAGUAUUUCUGAAGCCUGUUGUAUAUUGCCGUUUAAUCUGAAAGGAAGAGAGGAAGCAAAGACCCACCUGAUGUUUCUGAGUAUCAAAGUUACCUCAGGAGGAGGGAGGCGCAUGGCUAUCCUUAAGCCAGGGGCUGAUGUGUGUUGUGGCCUGCCUGCAUCACCGGUGAGAAGGGCCCAGAAAUCUUUCUGCCUGGGGGACAGAGAAGCCUUCUGGGAAAGCAUUCAAACUUAAGCCAAAGUAUGUCCUUGAGAAGAGAUCACAGACACAAGUCUGAAUUAGUUAGAAUGCCCCAGCCUUCAGACGGGAGCAACAACGGAAGGUCAGCAGAGUGCCGUCACUCCAUUUUAUCCCCUUCCCAGCACCCCCAUGUCCUCAACAGUUAAAUUAAUCCCUUCGUUAAAAAAAAAUUGAGCUUAUAAAACAUGGCUUCACCUUAGUUCUGAGUGACUGAGACUUCGGCUGGGAAACCAUGGGGCAAAAUGAGGCACUUUUCCUGGAGUCUUGUGCUUUUGAGGAUCCCAGAGAACACAGCGCACCGGGGCCCCUCAUGGAGAGCCCUGCUUACCAUCGACGGUGUCCUGCAGCGGUGGCCAUCCAUCCAGCAAUGUCAGGGGCCCCUGGCAACUGUGGCUGAGCCCACUGGGGUCUGACAACAUAGCCCGAGUGGGUAAUGGUGGUCACUCCAAGUACCUUUGUCUAGACUCGCUCCCCAGGUAAUUUUAGCCUGUUCUUGGCUUGCACGUACAGCACCUUUGUGAGAAUUAGAAAUAGGAGCCCUGUCUGGAUGGAAGAAUUAUGAAAAGGCAGCUCUCCCCUGGUGUGUAGCAAGACUUGACAAGUGGGUCUAAGGCUGCAUUUCAGCCUUUCUCCAAAGCCAGGCAUUUCUGGACAUUUUAACAUUUUUAAAAUCCAGAAAAGUAUAAAGAGGAAAAUAGAAAUCACCCAUAAUCUCAAUAUUUCAACCCUCAGAAAACUUAAUGUGGAGAGAAGUUGGAUCCAGAGGGUCCUUUAAGGCCCUUCCUUUGGAUGAUGACGUUGAGUCUUGCUGGCCAAACCAGGGCCUGUGCUGGAUGCCAGGUCUCGCUGCUCCCUCGCCAGCCUGGGGCCCUGGCCAUGGUGAUAUACAGGCUGUGCUGAACAACACUCUUGUUUUCUCCACAGCCUUGACCCGGGAAUUCGGUUUCUCUUCAUAGGAUUCCAGGUGUUGCGUUCCUGGGACUCACGGCCCUCUGGAAAACCAUUCAUUGACUCGUUCUCAUUUGAGAAUAUUUCUGGAGCAUCUUCUCUGCCCCAUUCUUACUCUGGAGAAAAAAAAAAAAAAGUCACAGUUGAGUCCCUCCCCCUCUGCCGCUGUGGGCCGGCUGCUCUGACUCUUGGCAGCUGUCAGCUGUCCCUGUGCUCAGAGCCUUGUCUCCCUUUGGCCUCUCAUCCCAAGAUACUCAGCUGCAUGCCAAAGAUCUGCUCUCUGGUGAGUCCCUCUAGUAGCCAUUCUCGGUACAGGGCCCCGAACAUUCCUUCACUUGGGUCGACCUUUGGCAACAUCCUUUAUACUGUCUCAGGACCAGGCCCUGCCAUGAUCUGAAAGGUCCCAGCAGAGUUGCGUUCGGGUGGUUGAGUCAGCUGAGCUUCCAACUCUAGAUUUCUGCUCAGGUCAUGAUUUCACGGUCGUGGGAUCGAGCCCCAGGUCAUACGCUGACAGUGUGGUGCCUACUUUGGAUUCUCUCUCUCUUUGCCCCUCCCCCCCCUCAUUCUCUCUCUCCCUCCCUCUCUCUCUCUGUCUCAAAAUAAAGGAAUAAACAUUAAAAAAAAAAAAAAAAAA
rnacentral:lncRNA from 1 species